rnacentral:lncRNA from 1 species
GAUUUACCGCACGGUUUCCACGAACAGAGACUCCAGGUCGGCCACGGCGUGAGGAAGGAGAAAGGGGCACUGGCGAACGGGGCCCGGUUGGCGGUGAGAGAACUAGUGGGGCCGACAUGUCUGCAAGGACCAGGGGAAUGGGGGAGGCGCGGGGCUGGCUGCCCAACCGGCCUCCGUGUCUACGGGCGAUGAGGUGUCUUGGCCCAAGCAGAGAGAAAAGGUGGGGAGGAAAUGGGUGGGCAGCGGGCGAGCGAACUAGGCCGGGAGCUGGUUCUGGGCCGAUGGAGAGGGAAGGGAAAGGGUUGGCCGUGCGGGGGGGGGGAGAAAGGAGAAGGGGAACUUGGGCCCGAGAGAGAGAUGGCCACUCGGGCUGAAAUAGAGAGGGGGAGGGGGAUGGCGCGGGCUCGCUGCACUGGGCUGGCCACUAGGCCGAGGGGAAGAAGCCAAGCCUUCAGGCCAGAAUCUAGGGGGUGGAAGAAGUUUCUUUUUUUUCUUUUCAUUUUCUUUUUAUUUUAAUUCAAAAUCUAUUCAAAUCCAUUUAAAAAAAUCUGUUUAAAAUAUAUUUGAACUGUGGUCAAAUUCACACAAUACAAUGAAAAUAAAUGCUCCAAAAUGAAUGCACAAACAAGUUGCUAAAUCCUAUAAUAAAUUUUAUUCAAAUGAAAAAUAUUAUUUCUCUAUGUUUCAUGAGCACAAAAAUAUAAAAUUAAAUUAUUUUUCACCUAUUUCAAAAUGAGCAAAUUUUAGGGUGUUACAU